rnacentral:tRNA from 1 species
GGUUCCAUAGUGUAGUGGUUAGCACGUCUGCUUUACACGCAGAAAGUCCUGGAUUUGCACCCUAGUGGAGCCA